UGGAGAAAAGGCCCAAAAAUAGGGUAUUUGAGCCGUUCUUGGCUUUUCUUCGAUAGCCGUUCACCAACAACUAUGAUCUCACCGUGGAGGGUCAUAAGGAGGCUGAGGUCCCUAGCUUAGGAUCCGGCUUCAAGGAACGGCAAUGCUGGCGAUCGAAAAAGGCCAGUGGCUAUGAUCUCAUCAGUUGGCAAAGCCGGUGGCCAGCAGUGGUGCCCAAAGCCAUAGGAAGAAGGGGAGGA
rnacentral:lncRNA from 1 species